rnacentral:lncRNA from 1 species
CCCCACCUUAAGCUCCUACUUUGAUAGAAUCAGAACCUAUUUUGUAUCUCCUAUCACAGGGUGAGGCUGAAACCAACAUCGAGUCUAAAUAACAACAAAAGAACUACAAUAGAGAGAGCAAAGGUAACCAACUAUCAAACCCGAACUGCCGUCCAGUAAGCUUGAUUAAGAACCACACAACGAUCGGGCAUCUGGAAAUGGAAGAGAAUAACGAUAAGCACCGGAAGGUCUAGAUGGAAGAUAAAUUGUAUUAGAAGAAAUACUAUACUAACUCCCUCUGCCACCCUCGAAAAACAUAUCAUGACCAUCAAAGGAUUGAUUGUGUGCAAUAACUGACUAAGAUUAGCCCUACCUUAAGCCCUACUUUGAUAAAAUUAAAACUUAAUUUUUAUCUCAUGUCAUAGGGUGGGGCAGAAAACAAUAUCACGUCUAUGUACAAACAAAAAUUGUUGAAAUGACAAAAGAUAACCAAACAUCAAACCAGAAGUGUCAUCCAGUUAAGAACCACCCCACGAUCAGACAUCUGGAAAUUGAAGAGUAUAUCUAUAAGCACGGGAAACUCUAGGUAGAAGAGAAAAUGUAUAGAAAUAAAAAUACUAUUAUGUACUCCCUUUGCCACCCUCGAUUAACACAAUAUCAAUGACUCAUCAAAGAUCUGUCCGCGUCCAAAAACCAGACCAAGAUAGCCCCCACAUUAAGCUCCUACAGUGAUGGAAUCAAAACCUAUUUUGUAUCUCCUGUCACAGGGUAGGCCCAAAACAAUAUCCAAGUCUAUAUAACAACAAAAGAAUAUAAUAGAGAGAUCAAAUGCAACCAAUUAUGAACCCAGAACUGCCUUCCAGUUAAGCUUGAUUAAGAACCAAACAACGAUCAGGCAUCUGGAAAUCGAAGAGAAUAACAAUAAGCACGGGAAAGUCAAGAUGGAAGAUAAAUUGUAGCAGAAUUAAUACAAUACUAUACUCCCUCUGACACCCUCGAUAAACAUUAUAUCAGUGACAGCAUCAAAAGUUGAUGUCUCCAGUAACUAGACCAAGAUUAGCCCCACCAUAAGCUGCUUCUUUCACAACUUAAUUUUUAACUCCUGUCACAAGGUGAGGCAGAAAACAAUAUCCACGUCUACGUAACAAAUAAAAGAUUGUUGAAACUGACAAAAGAUAACCAAGCAUACCAGAAGUGCCUUCCAGUUAAGAACCACACAACAAUCAGACAUCUGGAAAUUGAAGAGUAUAACUAUUAGCACGGGAAACUCUAGGUAGAAGAGAAAAUGUAGGUAGAAAAAAAAUACUAUUAGUACUCCCUUUACCACCCACUAUUAACACUAUAUCAAUGACAGCAUGAAGGAUUUGUCAGUGUCCAAAAACCAGACCAAGACAGCCCCCACCUUAAGCUCCUACUUGAUAGAAUCAGAACCUAUUUUGUAUCUCCUAUCACAGGGUGAGGCUGAAACCAACAUCCGAGUCUAAAUAACAACAAAAGAACUACAAUAGAGAGAGCAAAGGUAACCAACUAUCAAACCCGAACUGCCGUCCAGUUAAGCUUGAUUAAGAACCACACAACGAUCGGGCAUCUGGAAAUGAAGAGAAUAACGAUAAGCACCGGAAGGUCUAGAUGGAAGAUAAAUUGUAUAGAAGAAAUACUAUACUAUACUCCCUCUGCCACCCUCGAUAAACACACUAUAUAGUGACCACGUCAAAGGAUUGACUUGUGUGCAAUAACUUGACUAAGAUUAGCCCUACCUUAAGCUCCUACUUGAUAAAAUUAAAACUUAAUUUUUAUCUCAUGUCAUAGGGUGGGGCAGAAAACAAUAUCCACGUCUAUGUAGCAAACAAAAUUGUUGAACUGACAAAAGAUAACCAAACAUCAAACAGAAGUGUCUCCAGUUAAGAACCACCCCACGAUCAGACAUCUGGAAAUUGAAGAGUAUAUCUAUAAGCACGGGAAACUCGAGGUAGAAGAGAAAAUGUAGUAGAAUAAAAAUACUAUUAUGUACUCCCUUUGCCACCCUCGAUUAACACAAUAUCAAUGACUACAUCAAAGAUCUGUCGCGUCCAAAAACCAGACCAAGAUAGCCCCCACAUUAAGCUCCUACAGUGAUGGAAUCAAAACCUAUUUUGUAUCUCCUGUCACAGGGUAGGCUCAAAACAAUAUCCAAGUCUAUAUAACAACAAAAGAAAUAUAAUAGAGAGAUCAAAUGCAACCAAUUAUGAACCCAGAACUGCCUUCCAGUUAAGCUUGAUUAAGAACCAAACAACGAUCAGGCAUCUGGAAAUCGAAGAGAAUAACAAUAAGCACGGGAAAGUCAAGAUGGAAGAUAAAUUGUAGCAGAAUUAAUACAAUACUAUACUCCCUCUGACACCCUCGAUAAACAUUAUAUCAGUGACAGCAUCAAAAGUUGAUAGUCUCCAUAACUAGACCAAGAUUAGCCCCACCAUAAGUGCUUCUUUCACAACUUAAUUUUUAACCCCUGUCACAAGGUGAGGCAGAAAACAAUAUCCACGUCUACGUAACAAAUAAAAGAUUGUUGAAACUGACAAAAGAUAACCAAGCAUACCAGAAGUGCCUUCCAGUUAAGAACCACACAACAUCAGACAUCUGGAAAUUGAAGAGUAUAUCUAUAGCACGGGAAAUUCUAGGUAGAAGAGAAAAUGUAGUAGAAAAAAAAUACUAUUAUGUACUCCCUUUCCACCCCGAUUAAACAUAUCAAUGACCAUAAGAUUGUCGGUCCAAAAACCAGACCAAGACAGCCCCCACCUUAAGCUCCUACUUUGAUAGAAUCAGAACCUAUUUUGUAUCUCCUAUCACAGGGUGAGGCUGAAACCAACAUCGAGUCUAAAUAACAACAAAAGAACUACAAUAGAGAAAGCAAAGGUAACCAACUAUCAAACCCGAACUGCCGUCCAGUUAAGCUUGAUUAAGAACCACACAACGAUCGGGCAUCUGGAAAUGGAAGAGAAUAACGAUAAGCACCGGAAGGUCUAGAUGGAAGAUAAAUUGUAUUAGAAGAAAUACUAUCUAUACUCCCUCUGCCACCCUCGAUAAACACACUAUAUCAGUGACCACGUCAAAGGAUUGACUUGUGUGCAAUAACUUGACUAAGAUUAGCCCUACUUAAGCUCCUACUUUGAUAAAAUUAAAACUUAAUUUUUAUCUCAUGUCAUAGGGUGGGGCAGAAAACAAUAUCCACGUCUAUGUACAAACAAAAUUGUUGAAAUGACAAAAGAUAACCAAACAUCAAACCAGAAGUGUCUCCAGUUAAGAACCACCCAGAUCAGACAUACUGGAAAUUGAAGGUAUAUCUAUAAGACACGGAAAUUGGUAGAAGAGAAAAUUAAGUAGAAUAAAAACUAUUAUGUACUCCCUUUGCCACCCUCGAUUAACACAAUAUCAAUGACUCAUCAAAGAUCUGUCCGCGUACCAAAAACCAGACCAAGAUACCCCACAUUAAGCUCCUACAGUGAUGGAAUCAAAACCUAUUUUGUAUCUCCUGUCACAGGGUAGGCCCAAAACAAUAUCCAAGUCUAUAUAACAACAAAAGAUAUAUAAUAGAGAGAUCAAAUGCAACCAAUUAUGAACCCAGAACUGCCUUCCAGUUAAGCUUGAUUAAGAACCAAACAACGAUCAGGCAUCUGGAAAUCGAAGAGAAUAACAAUAAGCACGGGAAAGUCAAGAUGGAAGAUAAAUUAUAGCAGAAUUAAUACAAUACUAUACUCCCUCUGACACCCUCGAUAAACAUUAUAUCAGUGACAGCAUCAAAAGUUGAUAGUCUCCAUAACUAGACCAAGAUUAGCCCCACCAUAAGUGCUUCUUUCACAACUUAAUUUUUAACCCCUGUCACAAGGUGAGGCAGAAAACAAUAUCCACGUCUACGUAACAAAUAAAAGAUUGUUGAAACUGACAAAAGAUAACCAAGCAUACCAGAAGUGCCUUCCAGUUAAGAACCACCCCACAUCAGACAUCUGGAAAUUGAAGAGUAAAAUUAUAAGCACGGGAAACUCUAGCUAGAAGAGAAAAUGUAGUAGGAAAAAAUAACUAUUAUGUACUCCCUUUGCAACCCUCGAUUAACAACAUAUUAAUUGACAAUAUCAAAGAUUUUUCCGUGUCCAAAAACCAGACCAAGAUAGCCCCCACAUUAAGCUCCUAUUGCGAUGGUAUCAAAACCUAUUUUGUAUCUCCUGUCAUAGGGUGAGGGCCAAAUCAAUAUCCAAGUCUACAUAACAACAAAAUAACUAUAAUAGAAAGAGCAAGGGUAACCAAUUAUCAAACCAGAACUGCCUUCCAUUUAAGCUUGAUUAAAAACCACACAACAAUCAAGCAUCUGGAAAUUGAAGAGAAUAAAGAUAAGUAUGAGAAAGUCUAGGUGGAAGAUAAAUUUUAGUAGAAAAAAUUACUAUAAAAUACUCCCUCUGCUACCCUGGAUAAAACCUAUAUCAGAGACAGCGUGAAAGGUUUGAUCUGUGUCCAAUAACUUGACCAAGAUUAGCCCCACCUUAUGCUCCCUACUUUGAUAAAAUCAAAACUUAAAUUUUAUCUCCUGCCAUAGGAUGAGGAGAAAACAAUAUCCACGUCUACGUAGCAAACAAAAAACUGAUGAAAAAGAGAACCAAGCAUCAAACCAGAAGUGUCUUCAAGUUAAGAACCACACAACGACCAGACACCUGGGAUUGAAGAGUAUAACGAUGGAGAGUAUAACGAUAAGAACCAGAAACUCUGGGUAGAAUAGAAUAUGUAGAAGAUAAAAUACUAUUCUGUUCUCCAUCUGCCUCCCUCAAUAAACACUAUAUCAAUGCCGGCAUCAUAGAUUAGUCCAUGUCCAAAAACCCAACCAAGAUAGCCCCAACUUAGAGCUCCUACUUUGAUAGAAUUAAAACCUAUUUUGUAUCUCCUGUAACAGGGUGAGGCCCAAAACAAUAUCCAAGUCAACAUAACAACACAAAAACUACAUUUACAGAGCAAACGUAACCAAUUAUCAAACCAGCCUUCCCGUGAAGCUUGAUUAAGAACCACACAGAGAUCAGGCAUCUGCAAAUUGAUGAGAACAACAGUAAGCACGCGAUAGUCUAGGGAGAAGAUAAAAUGUUGUAAAAAAAAAUACUAUUCGAUACUCCCUCUGCCACACUCGAUAUUAACAGCGUCAAAGGUUUAUCUUCCGAUAACCAGAUUAGCCCCACCUUAAGCUCCUUCUUUUAAUACUUAAUUUUUAUCUCCUGUCAUAGGGUGAGGCAGAAAACAAUAUCCACGUCUACGUAACAAACAAAAAAUUGUUGAAACUGACAAAAGAUAACCAAGCAUCAAACCAGAAGUGCCUUCCAGUUAAGAACCACUGAACCACACAACGAAUCAUCAGACAUCUGGAGAUUGAAGAGUAUAACUAUAAGCACGGGAAACUUUAGGUAGAAGAGAAAAUGUAGUAGAAAAAAAAUACUACUCCAUGUACUCUUCCUAUUGCCACCCUUGAUUAACAAUAUACCAAUGACAGCAUCAAAGAUUUUUCCGUGCCAAAAACCAGACCAAGAUAGCCCCCACAUUAAGCUCCUAUUGUGAUAGAAUCAAAACCUAUUUUGUAUCUCCUGUCACAGAGUGAGGCCCAAAACAAUAUCGAGUCUACAUAACAACAAAAGAACUAAAAUAAAGAGAGCAAAGGUAACCAAUUAUCAAACCAGAACAGCCUUCCAGUGAAGCUAGAUUAAGAAGCUCAGAGCGAUCAAGCAUCUGAAAAUUGAUGAGAACGGUAAGCAAGGGCAAGUCUAGGUAGAGGAUAAAAUGUUGUAAAAAAAUUACUAUACUAUACUUCCUCUGCAACCCUUGAUAAAAACACAAUAUCAAUUUGUCAGCGUCAAAUGUUGGUCCGUGGCCAACAACCAGACCAAGAUUAGCACCACCAUAAGUUCCUAAUUUGAUAGAAUCAAAACAUAAUUUUUAUCUCCUGUCAUAGGGUGAGGCAGAAAACAUAAAUUCAUCAUGAUGAUCUUGAGGCUCCUCACCAGCGAUUAAUCUGUGGCCAGAGAAGAGAACAAUUGAGUAAAUUCAUAACUAUCAGCGUUUCCACCAACUGCCGAUAACCAUCAAACUAUCAGCGCGAAAGGAAAAGGACAAAAUAAACCUUCUGGCUUGAGAGAUCACGAGCUAUCCAAUCGGUUGCCCUACAGAUACAAACGAAAGUAAGCCCCGAUAACCAAUACGGCAGAGGAAAUCAUGAUCUAAAUAGACCGUCAAAACUUGAACUAUAAAAUCUGCACUCGUUGCGAAUAACUGAAUAUUAACCCAAAUCAGCAGAAGGAAUCACAAUAACCGAUCUACACAAAUCAAAUACGUCAAAGUAGAUUGAACAGAAAUCCUCCGCUAGGUCAUCUAUCCUCGCCGCCAUAUGUCAUACCAGACAGGGAAGGCUAAUGGAAAUCGCAACACAAGGAGAGAGUAACCCGAUCGAAAACACAAAACUUAAUCGCCAACGAAAUCGCACCACAAAACACAAUAACCCUAGAUAUGAAUUCAGGAGAAGAGGGCCACAAUAGAAGAAAAAUAAUAGCGAAACACGCAAAGAGGGGGGAUGGGUAGGAGAAUGUGGGGAGAUAUGGUAUAUAUAGUGAGUCAUAGAGAGACUUG